CCUAACACAUGCAAGUCGAGCGGAAACGGCAGUAUUGAAGCUUCGGUGGAUUUACUGGACGUCGAGCGGCGGACGGGUGAGUAACGGCUGGGAACCUGCCCUGACGAGGGGGAUAACCGUUGGAAACGACGGCUAAUACCGCAUAAUGUCUACGGACCAAAGGUGGCCUCUACAUGUAAGCUAUCGCGUUGGGAUGGGCCCAGUUAGGAUUAGCUAGUUGGUAAGGUAACGGCUUACCAAGGCGACGAUCCUUAGCUGGUUUGAGAGGAUGAUCAGCCACACUGGGACUGAGACACGGCCCAGACUCCUACGGGAGGCAGCAGUGGGGAAUAUUGCACAAUGGGGGAGACCCUGAUGCAGCCAUGCCGCGUGUGUGAAGAAGGCCUUCGGGUUGUAAAGCACUUUCAGCAGUGAGGAAGGUAGUGUACUUAAUACGUGCAUUGCUUGACGUUAGCUGCAGAAGAAGCACCGGCUAACUCCGUGCCAGCAGCCGCGGUAAUACGGAGGGUGCGAGCGUUAAUCGGAAUUACUGGGCGUAAAGCGCAUGCAGGCGGUUUGUUAAGUCAGAUGUGAAAGCCCGGGGCUCAACCUCGGAACCGCAUUUGAAACUGGCAGGCUAGAGUCUUGUAGAGGGGGGUAGAAUUUCAGGUGUAGCGGUGAAAUGCGUAGAGAUCUGAAGGAAUACCAGUGGCGAAGGCGGCCCCCUGGACAAAGACUGACGCUCAGAUGCGAAAGCGUGGGUAGCAAACAGGAUUAGAUACCCUGGUAGUCCACGCCGUAAACGAUGUCUACUUGGAGGC
rnacentral:rRNA from 1 species